AGAGUUUGAUCAUGGCUCAGGACGAACGCUGGCGGCGUGCUUAACACAUGCAAGUCGAACGGCGUCCAUCCAGUGGCAACACUGGUGAAGACGCAGUGGCGAACGGGUGAGUAACACGUGAGCAACCUGCCCCGAAGACUGGGAUAACAGCGGGAAACCGCUGCUAAUACCGGAUACCCCCAUUGGGUCGCAUGGCCUGAUGAGGAAAUGAAUUUCGCUUCGGGAGGGGCUCGCGGGCUAUCAGCUUGUUGGUGGGGUAACGGCCUACCAAGGCGACGACGGCUAGCUGGUCUGAGAGGACGACCAGCCACACUGGGACUGAGACACGGCCCAGACUCCUACGGGAGGCAGCAGUGGGGAAUCUUGCACAAUGGGCGAAAGCCUGAUGCAGCAACGCCGCGUGCGGGAUGAAGGCCUUCGGGUUGUAAACCGCUUUCAGCAGGGACGAAAUUGACGGUACCUGCAGAAGAAGCCCCGGCCAACUACGUGCCAGCAGCCGCGGUAAUUC
rnacentral:rRNA from 1 species